UAUUAGUUCUGUGACGAACCACCGGUCGCGCUUAAGGCGAAAAUAUUUAGGCAGUUCAAAUCAAAUCAAGUCAGUUCUAAUCAAAUAAUAUGUACCGUCAAAAAUCGAAAAAAGUUUUACUGGAAUUUUAGUGAUUAUUUAAACUUUUUAUUAAAAACAAUGAUGGAAUCAGGCCGUAAACCCUUUCAUAAUUAUGUUGUUCCGAUGUCGGAUUUGUUUUCCAAAAGACAUACAUUCUCGAAGAACGGUCCUACAUUAUUUCAAAACUGAUAUCAAGUGCGAAACCUUAAAAUGGAAAAUACAACACAGCAAGAUAUUUAAAAGAUUUAUAGAGUUUGUGAUUUACAUUUUUGUAAUCAAGAUCGUACCUGGAAUAAAAAGAGGUUUAGAAGUUAAUUCUAAAGUUUUUAUAUACACCAGUUCAUAUGGAUUUUUUAAAUUGUAUCUAUCAUUUUAGAGAAAGGAUCAGAUAACCCAAAUCAGGAAUCUUCCAAAGUGCAGAUGAUGCAGUUUUUGUGAGUGAGGUAUAAUAUCUGUCUCUUGUAAGACCUCUUUUAAGAAUUUAACCCAGGCAGUUGUUUACAACCAAAUUAGAUCUCAAGCAUAGCAAAGGAAUGGUACAACCUGUGAAUUCAGUUUAAUUACUGAGAUCACGGAUGAUGAAACAUUCAUUAUGAUUAUACAGAGCUACAAAGAGUUAUGUUGAGAAUCCAAAUUAUUAUAAUGAAUUGAGACGAGACAACACCUGGGUGGAAAUUGAGGAAACAUGCAGAUAAAAGGCAUUUUUAUAUUAACGUUAUGAAUCCAAUGUUUUUAUCAAAUCGUCACAUAGAUAAUAUUUCUCUACGCAUAAUACUAAAAUUAAAAAGGUCAGGUUAAAACAACUUUAAUUAUCCAUCGCGUGCGAAAAACAGUGCUUCGCAUGGCUUACAUUAUCUCUAUACAAAAGUGCUUCGUUUGUCCGCUAGAGGCAUCAAACUUUAAAGAAACAAACAAAUUUUUUAAGGAUAAUUUAAUACUUAGUAAGUAUAUUAGAAGAACCCUUGAUCCGAUUUGAAUAAUAUUUUGGGUGUCUAUGUUUGC